rnacentral:rRNA from 1 species
CCUACGGGAGGCAGCAGUAAGGAAUAUUGGUCAAUGGGCGCAAGCCUGAACCAGCCAUGCCGCGUGCAGGAAGACGGCCCUAUGGGUUGUAAACUGCUUUUGAACAAGAGAAAACCUCGGUACGUGUACCGAGCUGAUAGUAUUGUUAGAAUAAGCAUCGGCUAACUUCGUGCCAGCAGCCGCGGUAAGACGAAGGAUGCAAGCGUUAUCCGGAUUCAUUGGGUUUAAAGGGUGCGUAGGCGGCCUGAUAAGUCAGUGGUGAAAUCUCUCAGCUUAACUGAGAAACUGCCAUUGAUACUGUCGGGCUUGAGUACAGAUGAUGUGGGCGGAAUAUGACAUGUAGUGGUGAAAUACUUAGAUAUGUCAUAGAACACCGAUUGCGAAGGCAGCUCACAAAACUGUAACUGACGCUGAGGCACGAAAGUGCGGGGAUCAAACAGGAUUAGAUACCCUGGUAGUCCGCACCGUAAACGAUGAUUACUCGUUGUUGGCAAUAUGACCGUCAGCGACCAAGCGAAAGCGANAAGUAAUCCACCCUGGGGAGUACGCCGGCAACGGUGAAACGUCAAAGGAAUUGACGGCGNGAGAGNGCGACGGACGACGACGAGGGAGGAGG